GUUGGGGCAGCCCUCGGCGGGGCAGUUCUGUGUUCAGUUAUAUGUGCAACUCACAAGUGCUCAAAAAGGCUGCAAGAUGCCUAGCUAGCAACUGCUCCAACCAGUUUGAAGGAAGAAGGGGUGUGUUUCUCCACAGGUUUCCUCAAGACCCAGGUGUGUACAGUGAAAGGACUGGCGCAUUCAGGUGAAGAUGGGC